rnacentral:misc_RNA from 1 species
UACGGAGGUGGCAAGCGUUACUCGGAAUUAUUGGGUGUAAAGGGCAGGUAGGCGGCCUAGUAGGUGAGGAGUGAAAUCCCAUGGCUCAAUCAUGGAACUGCUUUUCAAACCAUUAGGCUUGAGGAUGGUAGAGGAAAAUGGAAUUCUCGGUGUAAGGGUGAAAUCUGUAGAUAUCGAGAAGAACACCAAUGGCGAAGGCAAUUUUCUGGCCCAUUCCUGACGCUGAUCUGCGAAAGCUAGGGGAGCAAACAGA